UCUCCGUAGGUGAACCAGCGGAGGGAUCAUUACCGAAUUUCUAAUUUCCAGUUCCGUGCUAUCCGAUAGCUAUCUUUAGCCUCUUGCGUAUACCUGCUCAGUUUCCAUACCUUCUGUUUGCGAAGCUUUGGCUCGUGGAAGCUUCAUACACGGCCAGCCGGUGACCAGACCACUGGCAAUACCCUGUUACUAACCCAUUGUCUGUAUAUUUUGCUCCAAUGACAUAAAACUUUCAACAACGUAACUCUAGGCUCUUGCAUCUAUGAAGAACGCAGCAAA
rnacentral:misc_RNA from 1 species